CGGUAACGCGUGAGUAACCUCGCCCACUAAGAGGGGAGUAAUCCAUGGAAACGUGGACUAAUACCGCAUAUUGUAGUUAAGUUGCAUGACUUGAUUAUGAAAGAUUUAUCGCUUAUGGAUGGACUCGCGUCAGAUUAGAUAGUUGGUGAGGUAACGGCUCACCAAGUCAACGAUCUGUAGCCGAACUGAGAGGUUGAUCGGCCGCCAUUGGGACUGAGACACGGCCCAGACUCCUACGGGAGGCAGCAUG
rnacentral:rRNA from 1 species